rnacentral:rRNA from 1 species
CGUGAGGGAAAGGUGAAAAGAACCCCGGGAGGGGAGUGAAAUAGUACCUGAAACCUUGUGCUUACAAGCAGUCAGAGCACGUUAAAGUGUGAUGGCGUACCUUUUGUAGAAUGGUCCGGCGAGUUAUAGUCACUGGCGAGGUUAAGCAAUUCAGUUGUGGAGCCGAAGGGAAACCGAGUCUUAAUAGGGCGUCGAGUCAGUGGCCAUAGACCUGAAACCGGGUGACCUAUCCAUGAGCAGGUUGAAGUUGGUGUAAAAGCCAAUGGAGGACCGAACCCACGUUCGUUGCAAUGACCGGGGAUGACUUGUGGAUAGCGGAGAAAUUCCAAUCGAACUCGGAGAUAGCUGGUUCUCCCCGAAAUAGCUUUAGGGCUAGCGUUGUGUUAGUUUACCGGAGGUAGAGCACUGAAUUGGCUAAGGGGCGAUGAGCUUACUGAACCUUAUCAAACUUCGAAUGCCGGAUAAAUGGUGCACAGCAGUCAGACAGUGUGAGAUAAGUUUCAUUGUCAAGAGGGAAACAGCCCAGACCCACAGCUAAGGUCCCAAAUGAACGCUAAGUGGAAAACGAUGUGGGGUUGCAAAAACAACCAGGAUGUUGGCUUAGAGGCAGCCACUCAUUAAAAGAGUGCGUAAUAGCUCACUGGUCGAGUGACCCUGCGCGGAAAAUAUAACGGGGCUAAGCGUCCAACCGAAGCUUGGGAUGUCUAAGGACAUGGUAGGGGAGCGUCGUGUAUAGGGAGAAGCAUGAGCGAGAGCACAUGUGGACAGUACACGAGUGAGAAUGCCGGAAUGAGUAGCGAGAAUUAUGUGGGAAUCAUAAUGGCCGAAAAUCUAAGGUUUCUUGGGGAAGGUUCGUCCGCCCAAGGUAAGCCGGGAGCUAAGGCGAGGCCGAAAGGCGUAGUCGAUGCACAUACGGUUGAAAUUCCGUAGCCGCCGAAAUUGUUAAGCACAGGGACACAUAGAGAUAUCCGAACCCGGGCGUUGGUUGACCCGGGCGCAAGGGACCGAACAUCAGUAGGGAAGUCGGAGAUGCUCUGUGGCGAGAAAAGCUGUGUGUAUUGAUUAGGCGCCCGUACCGCAAACCGACACAGGUAGAUGAGGAGAGAAUCCUAAGGCCAACGGGAGAAGGGUUGUUAAGGAACUCGGCAAAUUGACCCCGUAACUUCGGGAUAAGGGGAGCCUCCUACGGGAGGCCGCAGUGAAUAGGCCCAAGCAACUGUUUACCAAAAACACAGGUCUCUGCUAAAUCGAAAGAUGACGUAUAGGGGCUGACGCCUGCCCGGUGCCGGAAGGUUAAGAGGAGAGCUUAGCGCAAGCGAAGGUUCGAAUUGAAGCCCCGGUAAACGGCGGCCGUAACUAUAACGGUCCUAAGGUAGCGAAAUUCCUUGUCAGGUAAGUUCUGACCCGCACGAAUGGCGUAAUGAUUUGGGCACUGUCUCAACAGCCCGCCCGGCGAAAUUGUAGUACUGGUGAAGAUGCCAGUUACCCGCAACUAGACGGAAAGACCCCAUGGAGCUUUACUGUAGCCUAAUACUGAAGAUCGGUAAUGCAUGUACAGGAUAGGUGGGAGCCAGCGAAACCCGGGCGUCAGCUCGGAUGGAGGCAACCUUGGAAUACCACCCUUGUAUUGCUGGUUUUCUAACCUGCGGCCAUGAAUCUGGUCGGGGGACACUGUUAGGUGGGCAGUUUGACUGGGGCGGUCGCCUCCAAAAGCGUAACGGAGGCGCUCAAAGGUUGGCUCAGCACGGACGGAAAUCGUGCAUAGAGUGCAAACGCAUAAGCCAACUUGACUGCGAGACCGACGGGUCGAGCAGGUACGAAAGUAGGAGUUAGUGAUCCGGUGGUAUGUGAGUGGAAAUGCCAUCGCUCAACGGAUAAAA